rnacentral:rRNA from 1 species
CCUACGGGUGGCAGCAGUAGGGAAUUUUCGUCAAUGGGCGCAAGCCUGAACGAGCAAUGCCGCGUGAACGAGGAAGGUCUUCGGAUCGUCAAGUUCUGUUGAAGGGGAAAAAGAGCGGAGAGAGGGAAUGCUUUCUGAUUGAUAUUACCCUUCGAGGAAGUCACGGCUAACUACGUGCCAGCAGCCGCGGUAAUACGUAGGUGGCGAGAGUUGUCCGGAAUGAUUGGGCGUAAAGGGUGCGUGGGCGGUCUGCGAAGUCUGGAGUGAAAGUUACCGGCUCAACCGGGACAGGUUCUGGAAACUGGCGGGCUAGAGAGCAGGAGAGGGCGGUGGAACGCCAUGUGUAGCGGUAAAAUGCGUAGAUAUAUGGAAGAACACCAGUGGCGAAGGCGGCCGCCUGGCCUGUUACUGACGCUGAGGCACGAAAGCGUGGGGAGCAAAUAGGAUUAGAUACCCUUGUAGUC